rnacentral:rRNA from 1 species
GGAGUCUGGGCCGUGUCUCAGUCCCAAUGUGGCCGUUCAUCCUCUCAGACCGGCUACUGAUCGUCGCUUUGGUGGGCCGUUACCCCGCCAACUGGCUAAUCAGACGCAUCCCCAUCCCUUAGCGAUAAAUCUUUGGUUUGAUCUUGAUGUCAGCAUCAAACAACAUAGGGAAUUAAUCCGACUUUCGCCGGGCUGUGCCCUACUAAGGGGAAGGUUGGAUACGCGUUACUCACCCGUGCGCCGGUCGCCAUCUAUCAAAGCAAGCUUCGAUAAUGAUGCCCCUCGACUUGCAUGUGUUAAGCCUGUAGCUAGCGUUCAUC